rnacentral:rRNA from 1 species
AACGCAGCGAAGGGCGAUAAGUAAUGUGAAUUGCAGAAUUCAGUGAAUCAUCGAAUCUUUGAACGCACCUUGCGCUCCUUGGUAUUCCGAGGAGCAUGCCUGUUUGAGUGUCAUUAAAUUCUCAACCCCUCCAGCUUUUGCGAGUUGUGAUGGGGCGUGGAUCUGGGAGUUUGCGGGUCUUUAUCAAUAAAGGUCAGCUCUCCUGAAAUGCAUUAGCGGAACCGUUUGCAGUCCCGUCACUAGUGUGAUAAUUAUCUACACUGUGAUGAUUGCUCUCUGACUAGUUCAGCUGCUAAUCGUCCACUAUGGACAACACUUAAUGAAAUUCUUGACCUCAAAUCAGGUAGGACUACCCGCUGAACUUAA